GUCCUAGUAGCUUACAACCAAAGCAUGGCACUGAAGAUGCCAAGACGGCCACACACCUGCCCAAGGACA
rnacentral:tRNA from 1 species